AUGAAGAAAUUAUUUAAAUCUUUUAAAAGCGUCAAGAGUUUUAAAGAUGCAAGAACUCUUGAAAUAAAUAUAACAAAUGGACAACCCAAGCUUGUGGUUAAUAAAAGAAAGAAAGGUGAUUCUAGUAAACCACCUCCACAAAAGUCAAAAAAACAUGACAACAACCUUACACAGAACUCAAAAUUUCUCAAAUCGAAAAACAAACACAAGAAAAAUAAUUCAUCUUUGACACAUUUGUCACCAAGGACACUUUGUUUUUUUCCAUCAUUAUUGACUUGGAGCUGA